UUCAAGGAUUUGUAAGAAAUGUUUGAGGAAUCUGACUCGGUGUUAAACACAGUCAGUUUCUUCAAACAUUUUUUUACAAAUCCUUCAA